rnacentral:sRNA from 1 species
GAUUUUAUACAACAUCAUUGUUUCCUGUACAUAUCGAGAUUUCAUCGAAUAUAAAUUAUUGUACAAGGUACUUUUUGAAUUCCUCGAAAAUGAAAAUAACAUUUUGAAGGUAGCAGCCAAUGUGACUUUAGCUAUGUUGUGUCACACAGAAUCUAUAGCCAUCAGAGAAAUACAAGGUGAUGUAAUAGAAACAAUAACAGAAUGGUUUCUGGCAGCUUUAAGGCACCCCAAGCAAAAAUAUGGCCGAGGGUUUUACGCAAGGCAUUUGUUACAAGCUCUUUGCAAAAUUUCAGCAAAUCAGUUCAACACAGGAG